UGAGUACGAGACGCUAAGGCGUUGAAGCAGUCUAUGUCAGACUUCCAAGAAAAGCUCGCAAUGUCAUGAACAAAAAAUGCCUGUACCAUAACCGACACAGGUGGGUAGGUAGAGUAUACUAAGGGGCGCGAGAUAACUCUCUCUAAGGAACUCGGCAAAAUGACUCCGUAACUUCGGGAGAAGGAGUGCCUUAUUUUUAUAAGGUUGCAAUAACAAGAUCCAAGCAACUGUUUACCAAAAACACAGGUCUCCGCUAAGUCGUAAGACGAUGUAUGGGGGCUGACGCCUGCCCAGUGCCAGAAGGUUAAAGAAGUUGGUUAGUUUCGGCGAAGCUGAUGACUGAAGCCCUGGUGAACGGCGGCCGUAACUAUAACGGUCCUAAGGUAGCGAAAUUCCUUGUCGGGUAAGUUCCGACCCGCACGAAAGGCGUAAUGAUUUGGAUACUGUCUCGGAGAGGGGCUCGGUGAAAUAGACUUGUCUGUGAAGAUGCGGACUACCUGCACCUGGACAGAAAGACCCUAUGAAGCUUUACUGUAACUUGAGAUUGAAAUUGGACUUUAUUUGCGCAGUAUAGGUGGGAGACGUUGAGAAUAUUCUUGCGGGAAUAUUGGAGUCAUCAGUGAGAUACCACUCUUGUAAUGUUAGAUUUCUAACUUUGUAUCAUUAUCUGGUCAAAGGACAGUUUCAGGCGGGCAGUUCGACUGGGGCGGUCGCCUCCCAAACGGUAACGGAGGCGCACAAAGGUUUCCUCUGAACGUGUAGAAAUCGUAUCUAGAGUGUAAAGGCAUAAGGAAGCUUGACUGUGAGACCUACAAGUCGAGCAGGGACGAAAGUCGGUCUUAGUGAUCUGACGGUGCUGAGUGGAAAGGCCGUCACUCAACGGAUAAAAGUUACUCUAAGGAUAACAGGCUGAUCUCCCCCAAGAGUUCACAUCGACGGGGAGGUUUGGCACCUCGAUGUCGGCUCAUCGCAUCCUGGGGCGGUAGUACGUCCCAAGGGUUGGGCUGUUCGCCCAUGAAAGCGGUACGCGAGCUGGGUUCAGAACGUCGUGAGACAGUUCGGUCCAUAUCCGGUGUAGGCGUUAGAAUAUUGAGAGGAGCCUUCUUUAGUACGAGAGGACCGAGAAGGACAUACCUCUGGUGUACCAGUUAUCGUGCCAACGGUAAACGCUGGGUAGCUAUGUAUGGAGUGGAUAACCGCUGAAAGCAUCUAAGUGGGAAGCCCACCUCAAGAUAAG
rnacentral:rRNA from 1 species